ACGAGUGAAUGAAGUUUGGUUUUGGAUUACAAUUAUGUCAACAAAUCAUCCCCAAUUUUGCCAAGCUCCACGUGCAAAUCGCCCCCAUCCGCUUCGCUUUUCAAAAUGGGGCUAUUUUUUCAGCGCCGUUUCUGACUGAAAAGCCCUAACGUUAUAUGGGUUGACCAUGGCUCCACACAGUUAUACGGUUUACAUGCCCUGCCGAAGGAACCUAGUAUGCGGAAAGGUGGUUGGAGUUUCGCCAGUCCCCUUUGCACCACCAGUAUAGUAACGCUAGCUUGGUGUGCAACGUUCGGUGGUGGGCCUCCCAGUCAACACCGCCUCAUAAAAUAAGGAAGUCCAUUAUUUGAGGAUCGCUUGCAGCAGUUGUUCAAGAGAUGUUCCGUUUGCUGCCAAACAUGCAACAUAGAGAAGACCAGCAAGGGGACCCUCAACAUCACGCAGACAUGCCCUCGCUGUGAGCAUUCCUAUAAAUUGAACAGGGAGGACGCUUGAAUCAGGACAAUGACCCAACACACCUCCAGGCUGUGUAAGGGCUAUUUGACCAAGGA